GACGAACGCUGGCGGCGUGCUUAACGCAUGCAAGUCGAACGGAAAGGCCCUGCUUUUGUGCGGUGCUCGAGUGGCGAACGGGUGAGUAACACGUGAGUAACCUGCACUUGACUUUGGGAUAACUUCAGGAAACUGGGGCUAAUACCGGCUAGGAGCUCCUGCUGCAUGGUGGGGGUUGGAUAGUUUCGGCGGUUGGGGAUGGACUCGCGGCUUAUCAGCUUGGUGGUGGGGUAGUGGCUUACCAAGGCUUUGACGGGUAGCCGGCCUGAGAGGGUGACCGGCCACAGUGGGACUGAGAUACGGCCCAGACUCCUACGGGAGGCAGCAGUGGGGAAUAUUGCACAAUGGGCGGAAGCCUGAUGCAGCAACGCCGCGUGCGGGAUGACGGCCUUCGGGUUGUAAACCGCUUUCGCCUGUGACGAAGCGUGAGUGACGGUAAUGGGUAAAGAAGCACCGGCUAACUACGUG
rnacentral:rRNA from 1 species